UACGAGGGGGGCAAGCGUUGUUCGGAAUUACUGGGCGUAAAGAGUGUGUAGGCGGUGCUCCCAGUCUGUUGUGAAAUCUCCCGGCUUAGCUGGGAGGGUGCAGCGGAAACUAGAGUGCUAGAGGGUGGGAGAGGUAAGCGGAAUUCCUGGUGUAGCGGUGAAAUGCGUAGAUAUCAGGAGGAACACCUGUGGUGUAGACAGCUUACUGGACCACUUCUGACGCUGAGACACGAAAGCGUGGGUAGCAAACAGG
rnacentral:rRNA from 1 species